rnacentral:tRNA from 1 species
AUCCAAAUAGUUUAAUAAGAAUAUUAAUUUGUGGUGUUAAGGGUAGAAGUUCUUCUUUUGGAUC